CCUACGGGAGGCUGCAGUGGGGAAUAUUGCACAAUGGGGGAAACCCUGAUGCAGCGACGCCGCGUGAGUGAAGAAGUAAUUCGUUAUGUAAAGCUCUAUCAGCAGGGAAGAAAAUGACGGUACCUGAGUAAGAAGCCCCGGCUAACUACGUGCCAGCAGCCGCGGUAAUACGUAGGGGGCAAGCGUUAUCCGGAUUUACUGGGUGUAAAGGGAGCGUAGACGGCAGUGCAAGUCUGGAGUUAAAGGCCGGGGCUCAACCCCCGGACUGCUCUGGAAACUUUACUGCUGGAGUGCCGGCGAGGUAUGUGGAAUUCCUAGUGUAGCGGUGAAAUGCGUAGAUAUUAGGAGGAACACCAGUGGCGAAGGCGGCUUACUGGACUGUAACUGACGUUGAGGCUCGAAAGCGUGGGGAGCAAACAGGAUUAGAUACCCUUGUAGUC
rnacentral:rRNA from 1 species